rnacentral:rRNA from 1 species
GACGAACGCUGGCGGCGUGCCUAAUACAUGCAAGUCGAACGCAGUGGGGACGGGUGAGUAACACGUGGGUAACCUCCCAUCAGAGGGGAUAACACUUGGAAACAGGUGCUAAACCGAUACUGAUGGAUGGACCCGCGGUGCAUUAGCUAGUUGGUGAGGUAACGGCUCACCAAGGCCACGAUGCAUAGGCGACCGGAGAGGUGGAUCGGCAAAACGGGGACGGAGACACGUCCCAGACUCAUACGGGAGGCAGCAGUAGGGAAGUUGCGGCAAGGUAUGAAAGUCGGACCGAGAAACGCCGCGUGAGUGAAGAGGUUUUUCGGAUCGUAAACUUCUGUUGUUAGAGAAGCGGUAUCUAACCAGAAAGCCACGGCUAACUACGUGCCAGCAGCCGCGGUAAUAC